rnacentral:lncRNA from 1 species
GAGCAUAUUAAAUAAUAUAUAUAUUAGUAGAUCACCAAAACUACCAAACCAUGCUCUGAUACCGUAUAUACGGAUGAGGAGAGGAGAGGAGAGGAGAGGAGAGUAGAAGGGAGGGGAGACAUAACCACACAACGAUUCACGUGAUGAUUCUGCAAAACUCAUCAUCAACUUUCUCUUGACUACGCGCACAUCUUUUUGUGGAGCUAUUCCAUUGUCAAACCGGCCUUCGUAAUUUGUCUUUUUCCACAAUCAGAUCCUUCCUUCUUUAUCAACUUGAUCGUCUUCUUGUCCUUUUCCUUCUUCAGGAAUCAUGAGUUACUGUAAUAUUGUGAGAAUUGUAAUUUUUAUUUUUAUACCAAAUACUCCGAAUCUGAGGUUGAGUUUCAAUUACACCUAUUCUUGAAUCUUGACCAUUUGAUAGUUGUUUCAAAUUAACCUAUUCAUCAUUACUCAUAUCACCAUCCUCAUUAUAACCAAUGUAUGUGUUUCACACUUUCACUAUUAUAAACAAUCCAACAA